UAAGAGUCUUGAGAUAAAAUCAUUCUGGAUUUAGAGUGGGCUCUGGUGUCCUUGUAAGAGGAAGAGAGGACACAAAGAGGCACAGAGGAGAACACCACGUGGCAACGGAGGCAGAGGUGACAGUGAGGCACCUGUGAGCCCAGGAAUGCCACUCUUGCCGACGGCCCCUGGAAGCUAGGAGAGAGGCCUGGCCUGGCUUCCCUCAGGGACUCCGGAAGUAAGUAGCCUCACCGACACCUUCAUUUUGGACUUUUGGUCUCCAGAACUGUGGGAGAGUAAGUUUCUGUUGACUUAAGCUCCCCAGUUUGGGGUGAUUUGUUACGGCAGCCCUGGGAGACUAUACACCGCAUCCCUGAGGUCCUCAGCUUUCCACGGUGUCCCCCCCACCCCCCCCUCCGCAAACAGACCUGUGCUUGAAAGCUCCAGGGACGGAGAGCUCACGACGUCCCAUCUAUGUGAUGGACUGCUUGUUGGAAACUCCUUUCUGGAGUUGUGGGAUCCGGGGAGGCUUCAUGGAAGAGGCAGCACGUGAACUGGGCCUUAAAGGAUGACUAUGAUCAAAACAAGGGGAAACAGGUGCGGUGGCACGUGUUCCAGGUGGUGGGGACGCGGCAGGAGUAUGGGCCGUAUAUGCAAACAUUCACUCAAACUCUUCUAGGAGUAUUUACUCGCUAAGCAGUGAGUAGUGGAAUGGAGGAUCCUGAGAAAGAAGAGAUUAACUAUGACACCGAGUGACCCGAGAAAGUCCCUGGGUCAGGGUCCCCAGGACCGCUCCCGGUGUGAUCUGCUAGGAGGACUCACAGCUAAGACCCGUCACGGUGCGAAGAUACAGAACAACGUCGGCGCGGGACAAAGGCUACGGGAAACCAAGCAAAAGCUUCCCAGGGUCCUCGUCCCGCUGAGUCACACAGGACACGCUUAACUCCUCCAGCGACGUGUCGCGACAGCGUGUGUGAAACAUCGUCUGCUAGAGAAGCUCAUUAGAGACCCAGAGCCCAGGGUGUUUCCUGGGGGCUGGUCACAUAGGUAACCCCUGCCUGGAUGUACCAGAUUCUCCGCAGGAGAGCAGGGCUUUUGCAUCAGCCAUGUUGUUUGCACAAACGAUUUAGGCGCAUCCAGCCCUUCUCAGAGAAUCGUGGGAGCAUUCCCAAAAUCCACGUUCCCAGACCCCAGCCAAGGGCCAGCCUCGUGAGCAGGCCUUUCAAAGGAUGGCAGUCUCGGGCCUGCUGCACUAACCCUGUUCCACACACUUGCCAAAGAAGGUGGCAUUUGACCUGGGGGAGUCAAGGAGCCACACAGAGAGGAGGAAACCCUGCCAGGUUGACCCCACCUACCUCUCCAGCCUUCCUCUGAACCUUUUCCUGAGCCCCGGUCAUCCUACACAGAUCUGAGCAGUGGCGACCCCCUUUGUACAGCCACGUGCCUGCCACGAUGCUAUUGUCACACAGGCCCUGUCACCCUCUCACUGAGUCUGCAACCCCGGGACAGCACCUUCCUGCACCGCAAGAAUCACAUUCUGACUGUAUUCUUGUGUACGAGACUGCCUUCUCAGCUUACUUCUCUCUGUUUCUUUCCCAUCCCUCCCCGCUCCCUCUCUCCAUGCUGUGGUAAACAGAGCCUUGCAAGCAGGGGUGGGGGCGGCAGGGGUGGGGGGCGCUGAUAAACUCAGCUGCGUGGACUUCCCAUCUCCAUGGGUCAAGGAUGGUGAGGCUCUGGGGCAGGAAUAGACCAGAUGAGCUCCGACAUAUCCCAGGGAUUGAUUGCAGGAUUCUCUGAGCUGGAGAAACUCAAAUUCAACGCGGCCACCGAAAUCCCGAGCAAGGCAGGCUCUGGAGCCUGGCAUGUGGGCGGAGAGAACAGAUGAGGAGCAGAACCAAAGAGACCCCAGUCAGGUGGAGUCCCGGCCGUGCAGGGCGUCAGGUGACAGGGAAGGGCGAGGGAGGAGCCCAGCACCUUUCUGGGGUGCCGGCUCACUGCUGAGGGACAGGAUCUCAGCUGGUGUGCGAGUGAACAAUAGCCCUUAACCCUGGCCCGGCUGAUGUGGGCCCCUCCCGGCUAGUUCUGAGGGUCCUUGGGGAGACAUACUCUAUGUUGGCAGCUGGUUGCUUCCAAGCCCUGGGCUGGGCACCCCCCAGGCAAGGUAAAUCCUGGAGGGGCCGGCUGGGGCUGGCUGCCUGGCAUGGGUUAGGGUCAGAGGGAAGGCCAGGGGGAGGGGGGAGGGAAGUCUGUCCAGCUUGGGGUGGAGUUUCUGCUGGUGUCUGUCAUUGACUAUAAAUGUAUCUGAGAGGAUUCGGUGCAGGGAGGGCUCCCCUCUCCCAUAGGGCCAGGGAAGCAAAUGUUCAGGGAAGCCUGGAAGGAGACUACCCACCUCUCAUUGCACGGCAGGAAUCAGGAAGGGAUGGGAGGAGGGGGCAGACGCCCGGCCCCUUGGCUCAGUCCAGCCUUCCCUAGAGGCCAGUCCUCUCACAGGGAGAAGCAUUGAGGCUGCCCAGCCUUCUAGAGAAGCGGCACAAAGAGUCACAUCAGGUGACAGCCUAGAGCAUGGCUGGCGGUGACAGGCGGCCUGGGUUCAAGUCCCGACUUGGCCACUCACUCAGCCUCAGCUGGUGGCUGAGCCUCACCAUCGUUAAGGGGGGGGGGGGGGGCCGGGCAGCAGUGAGACGACUUGUCACAGAUGGUCGUGUGACUGGUUUCCUCAUCCAUAAGACGAUGAGGGAUGUUAUAGGCUCAGGUGAAAUCCUAUAUGUGGAGACUGUGGCCUGGCCCGGGCCUGAGGUUAACGUCUGUUCUGGCCACUUGCUGAGGUGCUGUCAGUGACAGUCCUGGCCUCGGCCCCCGUGGCUGUCGCGCGGCAGUGUGCUCAGGCCAAAGGGAUGGUGCUCGGCUUUUCCAGCCUGUUUCCCCAACUAUAGGGAGUGCCAUGUCCCGAAGUCUGGCCACAGCCCUCCAAAAUUCCAAGCAACAUCCCCCUGCCUGGAUAUCAAGCACCUUCAGAUAUCACCAAAAGAAGCACUUCGUCAUUUGAGCCCUAAAAAGAUGGCUGCCAUUCCUUAUAUUCCUCAUUCCUUCUCCAGCGUUCUUUUUAAAGCGCAGUUAAUUUUGCUUUGCAAAUGUGUGAGCCCUUGGGGUUAAUUACAGCAACCGUGGAAUGUUCCAGAGAGACAGAAAGAAAAUGCUGAAUCUUACAGAAACUGACUUUUGGAUUCAUGCCUUUGCAUUCUUCCACAGAAUCACAAGACUGGGAGAUGUUGUCAUCUUACAGAUGGGGAAACUGAGGCUCAAAGGGAGGUGCUGGGAGGCAGAGCCAGGCAACAUCCACGUGGCCUCACUUCUUCCGGACUUCUUCCCUGACACCCACGCUGCCACCCAUAUUCACCCAGGACACGGCUUGUUACAGUGACAUGUGGGGGCUGUCAGCCGGGCCUGGGGUGACAUCGUGACCCCAUACACCAGGGUCACUCCCCAGAGGGGUAGUUGUUUCCUGUAUAACAUGGGGGUGGUUGUGUAACAAUAUCUACCUCUCAGGGUCAUGGGCAGGAUUAGACAUGAUGGAAAAAGCAUGUUGAUGGGAACAUAGAAACAUUUGUGUUUUUUUCUCCUCUCCACCUGUUUUGCUCAAAAUAAAUUUAAAAAAUUUUUAAAGUUA